rnacentral:rRNA from 1 species
UACGGGGGGAGCAAGCGUUGUUCGGAUUUACUGGGCGUAAAGGGCGCGUAGGCGGCCAGCACAAGUCAGUUGUGAAAUCUCCGAGCUUAACUCGGAAAGGUCAACUGAUACUGUGCGGCUAGAGUGCGGAAGGGGCAACUGGAAUUCUUGGUGUAGCGGUGAAAUGCGUAGAUAUCUGGAGGAACACCGGUGGCGAAGGCGGCUAUCUGGCCCGUAAUUGACGCUGAGGCGCGAAAGCGUGGGGAGCAAACAGG